rfam:Myotis davidii contig198333, whole genome shotgun sequence.
GGUGGUUUUCGGGUGACGCACCCCAGAAUCAGGCUCCCUCUUCUCUGAUUCGGGGUGCGUUACGUGAGAACUGCA